rnacentral:rRNA from 1 species
AUUGAACGCUGGCGGCAGGCCUAACACAUGCAAGUCGAGCGGAGCACGGGCGGGGUGAGUGAUGCCUAGGAAUCGGACUGUGACUGGGGGAUAGCGUCCGGAAAUGGGCACUGAUACCGCAACCUAUCAGAUGAGGCUAGGUCGGAUUAGCUAGUGGUUGGGGUAAAGGCCUAGCAAGGCCACGAUCCGUAUCUGGUCUGAGAGGAGGAUCAGUCACACUGGAACUGAGACACGGUCCAGACGCCUACGGGAGGCAGCAGUGGGGAAUAUUGGACAAUGGGCGAAAGCCUGAUGCAGCCAUGCCGCGUGUGUGAAGAAGGUCUUCGGAUUGUAAAGCACUUUAAGUUGGGAGGCGUUACCAACAGAAUAAGCACCGGCUAACUCCGUGCCAGCAGCCGCGGUAAUUC